rnacentral:rRNA from 1 species
ACGGGAGGCAGCAGUGAGGAAUAUUGGUCAAUGGGCGAGAGCCUGAACCAGCCAAGUCGCGUGAAGGAUGAAGGUUCUAUGGAUUGUAAACUUCUUUUGUUCGAGGGUAAAGUGAGUCACGUGUGAUUUAUUGCAAGUAUCGAACGAAUAAGCAUCGGCUAACUCCGUGCCAGCAGCCGCGGUAAUACGGAGGUUGCGAGCGUUAUCCGGAUUUAUUGGGUUUAAAGGGUGCGUAGGCGGAAUGUUAAGUCAGCGGUAAAACAGUGUAGCUAAACUAUACUUCGCCUUUGAAACUGGCGUUCUUGAGUGUAAAAGAGGUAGGCGGAAUGUCACGUGUAGCGGUGAAAUGCUUAGAUAUGUCACAGAACCCCGAUUGCGAAGGCAGCUUACCAGGAUACAACUGACGCUGAGGCACGAAAGCGUGGGUAUCAAGCAGGAUUAGAUACCCUGGUA